UCGGGAAUUUUGGGCAAUGGGCGAAAGCCUGACCCAGCAACGCCGCGUGAAGGAUGAAAUCCCUCGGGAUGUAAACUUCAUAAGAACGGGAAGAAUAAGUCGGUGCCAACACCACCGGCGAUGACGGUACCGUUAGUAAGCUCCGGCUAACUCCGUGCCAGCAGCCGCGGUAAUACGGGGGGAGCAAGCGUUGUUCGGAUUUACUGGGCGUAAAGGGCGCGUAGGCGGCCACCGCAAGUCGACUGUGAAAUCUCCGGGCUUAACCCGGAAAGGUCAGCCGAUACUGCGGGGCUAGAGUGCAGAAGGGGCAACUGGAAUUCUCGGUGUAGCGGUGAAAUGCGUAGAUAUCGAGAGGAACACCUGCGGCGAAGGCGGGUUGCUGGGCUGACACUGACGCUGAGGCGCGAAAGCUAGGGGAGCGAACGGG
rnacentral:rRNA from 1 species